rnacentral:rRNA from 1 species
GACGAACGCUGGCGGCGUGCUUAACACAUGCAAGUCGAGCGGUAAGGCUCCUUCGGGAGUACACGAGCGGCGAACGGGUGAGUAACACGUGAGCAAUCUGCCCUUCACUUCGGGAUAACUCCGGGAAACCGGUGCUAAUACCGAAUACGACCACUUCAGGCAUCUGAUGGUGGUGGAAAGUUCCGGCGGUGAAGGAUGAGCUCGCGGCCUAUCAGCUUGUUGGUGAGGUAAGGCCCACCAAGGCAACGACGGGUAGCCGGCCUGAGAGGGUGACCGGCCACACUGGGACUGAGACACGGCCCAGACUCCUACGGGAGGCAGGCAGUGGGGAAUAUUGGACAAUGGGCGAAAGCCUGAUCCAGCAACGCCGCGUGA